rnacentral:rRNA from 1 species
GUAGGGGGCUAGCGUUGUCCGGAAUCAUUGGGCGUAAAGCGCGCGUAGGCGGCCCGGUAAGUCCGUUGUAAAAGUCAAAGGCUCAACCUUUGAAAGCCGAUGGAUACUGCCGGGCUAGAGUCCGGAAGAGGCGAGUAGAAUUCCUGGUGUAGCGGUGGAAUGCGCAGAUAUCAGGAGGAAUACCCAUAGCGAAGGCAGCUCGCUGGGACGGUACUGACGCUGAGGCGCGAAAGCGUGGGGAGCGAACAGGAUUAGAUACCCUGGUAGUCCACGCCGUAAACGAUGGGCACUAGGUGUGGGAGGUGUCGACUCCUCCCGUGCCGACGCUAACGCAUUAAGUGCCCCGCCUGGGGAGUACGGCCGCAAGGCUAAA